AGCAGCCGCGGUAAUUCCAGCUCCAAUAGCGUAUAUUAAAGUUGUUGCGGUUAAAAAGCUCGUAGUUGAAUUUCGGGAUCAGUAUGUUGGUCGUGCUUCGGUACGUACUGUCAUUACUGGUUUCUACCUUCUGAAGAACCAUGAUGUCAUUAAUUUGGUGUCUUGGGGAAUCAGGACUGUUACUUUGAAAAAAUUAGAGUGUUUAAAGCAGGCUCGCGCUUGAAUACAUUAGCAUGGAAUAAUGAAAUAGGACGUUUGAUUCUAUUUUGUUGGUUUCUAGGAUCGACGUAAUGAUUAAUAGGGAUAGUUGGGGGUAUUAGUAUUCAAUUGUCAGAGGUGAAAUUCUUGGAUUUAUUGAAGACUAACUACUGCGAAAGCAUUUGCCAAGGAUGUUUUCAUUAAUCAAGAACGAAAGUUAGGGGAUCGAAGACGAUCAGAUACCGUCGUAGUCUUAACCAUAAACUAUGCCGACUAGGGAUCGGAUGAUGUUAAUUUUUAAUGACUCAUUCGGCGCCUUACG
rnacentral:rRNA from 1 species